AACGAACGCUGGCGGCAUGCCUAAUACAUGCAAGUCGAACGAGAACUUCGGGACUUGUGGCGUAUGGGUGUGUAACGCGUGGGAACCUGCCCUUAGGUUUGGAAUAACUCUCCGACAGGGGUGCUAAUACCGGACAAUGUCUUCGGACCAAAGAUUUAUCGACCUUGGAUGGGCCCGCGUUGGAUUAGCUAGUUGGUAGGGUAAAAGCCUACCAAGGCGAGGAUCCAUAGAUGGUCUGAGAGGAUGAUCAGCGACACUGGGAGUGGGACACGGCCCAGACUCCUACGCGAGGCAGGAGUGGGUAAUGUAGCACAGUGGGGGGAGGCCUGAUGGAGCAAUGCCCGGUAAGUGAUGAAAGCCUGAGAGUUGUAAAGCUCUUUUACCCGGGAAGGUAAUGACAGUACCUAAAGAGAAAGCUCCGGCUAACUCCGUG
rnacentral:rRNA from 1 species